UGUGAAGAUAAUGUUUGAUAGAAUCUUAUUGGGAAGACAAAGUGUGUGAAUCAUAUUCAGCAAAGUGGGAGAAAAGGUGAAGAAAUUUAAGAGAGGAUUUUGAAGGAUGAAUGAUAGCUCAGCUAGAGAAAUGAAUGAGAGACAACCUCAAAGGCCUUGUGGUUGUGAGGGCAUUUUCUUUCAUCUCUUUGAUCGGAACUAUAGAUUUGCCAAGAAGCUGUUUCUGAAGAAACUGCUUUCACCAGGUUAGCUACUACUACAUUCCACUCAUUUUUAAAGCAGAAUGGUUAAUUUCUUGAAGGUGAUUCUAGCUAGAGGGCUAAAUUAUUUCUUUUUUUGUUCUGCAUUCUUAUAGCUUGCUUGAAACAAGCUUCAAAAAAGUUUGGAGGGGAUGAGAAGCAACCAAAGCUUCGUUUGGUACUCAUUUCUUGAACUAUACUCCCACAUUUAGCUUUCUUUUUCUUGUGUUGUCUAAGAAAGUUUUUGUUUUUAUUGUUUUUGGAUAUUGUAUGAACAAUGUAGAUUGCUGAUGAGAACAGUAGGGGUUUUCCAAAUGCAAUGACUAAUGGAAUGACCGAUACACGUUGUGAAAGCAAGCGCGAAAUGAAAGCUCCCAGUUUGGUUGCUAGGAUCAUAAGUUUGUUAUCGAUGCCAGCAGGAUCAGGCAGUAAGCCCCAAAAGGCUUCAGCUUCUGAAACUUGGAGCAAUGUGGCAGACAAACUUGGUGCUCGACCAGGCGGAUCUGAUAAAGAAGAUAUGGAUUUUGAGAUGGCCGAAAUAAAGAGUUCAGAACCAGGUUUGCAAAGGUUUAGAGCUAAAUGUGCCCUCACUUAUCCUACUACAUAUUUUUCUCCUUUGGAAGAUGAAGCAGAUUUAGUUGGGAAUUCACUUGAUCACCAUUCAACUGACAGCUACCUCUCCAGCAGUCCCAAUAGUAGCUCAAGUAUGGUCCCCGAUUCNNNNNNNNNNNNNNNNNNNNNNNNNNNNNNNNNNNNNNNNNNNNNNNNNNNNNNNNNNNNNNNNNNNNNNNNNNNNNNNNNNNNNNNNNNNNNNNNNNNNNNNNNNNNNNNNNNNNNNNNNNNNNNNNNNNNNNNNNNNNNNNNNNNNNNNNNNNNNNNNNNNNNNNUGCUGAAUCAGUGGACUCUGUUGAUGAUGAACCGCUCGUUCCAGAACCUGAUAGAGAUCUUUCGGAUUGUAAGACCUCAUUAUCCACCAGGAGGAGUUGCAGAGAGCUGAUUCAUAACGUUUCUGGAGUGCUCAGGAAGAUUAAUUAGUUAAAAGGAAGCAAACUCAGCUACGCAAAACAGGUCAUUUUGAAUGCUGAACUCAUAUCUGGAACUACACCUCAACAGCAGGCUCUACCUGUAGAGGAUGGGUUCUCUGUGAGCCAUUUUCUCCUCAAUGAACAUGAAUGUUUUCGAGUUUUCUGUGGAUGGCUUUCGGUGAGUUGCUUGGCCGUAAUGACCCAAAACAGAUGAAUCAGCUUAAAGGAUUCGCCUUUGAUUGUCUAUUAGAGUACCUGGACUCAAAAUUUUCUCCAAUCUCUGAUUCUGGUUUCAGAACCUGUACUAAACUACCAUCAUGUAUGACCAAAGAGACUCUGAUUGCUGAUAUUAUUCAUGAGGUCGAAGAGUGGACACAAUUUGUUGGUUUGAUCACAGACGAUCUAAUAGAAUGGGAUAUGAGUCAUUCUUUGGGUAAAUGUACGGACUUCGAGAUUGAAGAAUAUGAAUGUGGCACUGAAGUUGCUUGGCAUAUUCUCCAAGAAUUUGUAGAUGAAGUUGUUUUAGACCUUGACAGUUCUAGCUAAAUUUUGUGGAACUGUUAGUAACUCCUCUUUUUGAGACUUUGUUGCAAGCCUAUCAGUGUUGUUCUCAUGUGAUAACUCUUGACUCAAUAAUGUCAUGCAAAGUAUUUUGUACAAAUCAUUGAUUCUGCAUCUGAUUCGACUUAUUGUACUUGUGCUUUUGCAUUUAUGAAUAUUAAGAACAAUCCCUUCGUGAACAUCUGUUUGAAGUAGAACAUUACAAACACAAAAUGAAAAAUGGUUGAAAUGUAAGAACAAUUUGAAAAGAAACCCAAUAAGCCUAAAUGGAUGCAUAUGUAGCAAUCUGUUACUACCUCCGACCCAAAUUAUGUGUCAGUCGUCCCAAAAUAAAUGUCGUCUUUACUUAUUUGGAAAUUUUUCAAAGGCACAAUUACCUUUUUAGCUUUAUUGGACGAACUUGACUUUAAAUAUAUUAAUAAUUUUUUUUUAGUAUUUGUUUUUUGAAAGUGAAAGCCUUAUCACUUCAAUCAAAAUUUAAACUUUCAGCCUUUUAUUUUUACAGUAUCAAAAUUAUUUUAAACCACAGAGAGCAAUUUAUUCUUUUUGGUUGGGUAAUCCAGUUUUCUUCGACAACUCAUUGUUCAUAUUACUAUGAUUUCUUGAGUAAAAAUUUGAUCUUUAAAGCUAAAGUUAAAGAAAACAAGAAUUUAGAGGGACCUGACUUUCCACAUAUAUCAUCUUACAAUUGGAAAAAGUAACAAACACAACUACAAAGAUCAAACUUCUUUUGUUUAGAACUGAAAAUUGAUUGAGAUAGUGAGCUACCCAAGAGACAACAUCCUUCUCCGUUAUUUCCUCUAACGCGUCAUAUGCCUCGUCAAUACUUCACACUCAUGGUACUUUGAUAGGAGUGCAUUUCCGACAUAGCACAAGAUAUGAUAUCCAACAUUAACAAGUCAGUCGUGUAAUUUGCUUUCCAAAUUCGAAUGCAGCAACAUCAAGUAAGAUAAUACUGUAUGUCUGAACAAGCAGUAUAACAAGCAUAUUUUUUACAAACUCUAAACAUGAGUAGAAACUGUCCAUUUCACUUUGUCUUGAUGAAUGUUUGAUCCUUUUAGAAGCACCGUGAUCUGAAGUUCACUCCACAGCAAACAGUUAAUCUUUCGAGUAUUGAAUAUUGUCGACCUCAGCUUCAACGUACUUCCACUUCACAUGUAUUACCACAAAAAUGAAAAUACACAACAAAACAAUUUCCUACAAUUUUGUUUUUAGUUUCUGCACUUAUUUACUCCCGCUCCGAAUACUUAGUUUCCAACAAAUAUCAAGACGAUGCAAUGCACCUCUCCGAGAGCUCUUCAAGAAGCUAGUCUUCAACAACCACCACAAAACAGUAAAGUUAACAGCCCGACCUUUUCAUUUUUUUAGGUAGGUCAACACAGAUGACACACUCCUAUUUUCUUUCCCACCAUUCACAACCUUACGUUUCUCCUUUCUCAACUCUCUCUUCACCGGAAGUACAUUGGCUAGCCUAUGUUCUAUGAUAUUUCAACAUAAUCACAGAUCAUCAGAUUGUCAGCUUAUGAUUAAAUGUUCAGUUACUUGACAACAGUGAGAGUGACUCACAGAACACCAAAUUUAACAAACAUAACUCAAGAGCAAGGAUCAAGGAAGACUAAGUCUCAUGAACGUGAUAGUGGUAGGAUAUCUGACAGGAAAAGGGAGCGAGACGACUUUGAACAGGACAAGGAAAAGUAUAAGAAAAGUAACAUCAUACUAAUAAAUUAUGACAAUCAAGAUAGAAUUAUUAUAAAUUGGCAAAAUGUGCAUGAGGGAAACUUUAAUAAUAGUAUAUAAAAAAAAACUUUUUAAAAAUAUUAAAUUCAUUUCACAAGAGGUUUGAGGUAUGAGGAAUGGAAUAUUAAAAGGAACAGUUUGAUUGUUGAUACUUUUUUCUAUAAGACAACUAUAAUAUCGCGCUGACCUCUUAGAUAGUCACUCAGCUAAUAGUUAUUACCUCAGAAAAUCACCUUUUUUCUUGAUUCUCAGAAAGUCACUAUAUUAGAAAUCGACUCAGAUAAUUACACAAUCAUAUCUAAGAAGCUGAAGAAAUGUAUAAGUUUUAGAGAAAAAACUAACAGUAGAAAAUGUGGUAAGUAUCAUCAUAGAGUAGAAAUCAACUUUAAAAGUACGUUAUAUAUAAUCUUCACAGCUCCAUCAACUGUCCUACAGCAAUAGAAUCAAAACUAAGGGAUGCUCAACCACGCUAAGCCUCGAGGAAUAGUUUACUCCAACAAUACUUGAUGAUUUACGUAAGACAGAGGCUCGUUCUAUAGGUCAAAAGACAGGUUUUGUGCAACAUCACGACCCCUUGGACAACUUUUGUGCAGUCAUGAGACUUUUUGUCAACCAGAUUGCUGUUUCUCUAGACGACAUUCCAUCAUCCCAAGAGCGUCUUUCUUAGCCUGUUUGGUGUCGUAAACUGUGGUUGCUUUCUUUUCUAGCUCGUCUUUGUGUAGAAGUGAACCAUCCCUUUCAGUUGACAAGCAGUCAAUAGCAACUUCUCUACACUCGCUACCAUUUUCAGUUUCAGCAACACAGAAUCUUUGUGCUGCCUCUGGAUCUGGUUUUGCCAACUGUGAAUUAGAUGAAGUGCUUUCUUCAUCGAAGGAUCAUGUUUUAUCGUUGAAUCUUCCAUCAGACAAUGUAAUUCUGCUAGAUUUUGCAGAGAUACAUUACACUAUAUCUGCUUCCUCGUGGUCCAGUGGACUGCUCAACACCUCAAGCUCUUUUGUCUUGUUAUUCUUUGUAUCAUCCUCGUCAAAUCAACUAACAUGCUCCGGAGAAACAUGCUCUUGUUCCCCGGACCAUGUUUUUGCCCUUGAACUUGACGAGCUUGCAGUGAUCGUAGUUUCUGUUUGUGAGAUAGUCUCCUGUUGAUCAUAUCCAUUGCAAAUAGCUGCCUCACUCAUCUCCCCACUUUUAGAAUCCUCACUAUCUUGAGAGAUCCUAGCCGAGUAGCUUGUUAGAUCGACUCUCUUAGUGUCAAGUUUGGCUCGGAACGUGUUAUAAUUGUAAGAUAAGUUUCUUGGCUGAAUGUUAUCACUUUCGUCAAAGUAAAGGACAGUUCUUUUCUCUUUUAGCUUCUACGGUCUUUCUAUGCUACCUCUCGGACUGAUAGAUUUUCCAGGUGAUGGUCGUGUUUUCUCUUUCGUUCUGCUCGGGGACUUCAUGGAAAGAAACGCAGAUGAACGGUUGUGACACAAGAGGAGGUAUGGUUGCAAAUGUUGAUUUCUCAACAGCUCGACAGCCUAUAAGUAGAGGUAAAAAAAAUAUCAAGAUGAAUCUCAAUUUAAUACUCCCUCCAUUUCAUUUUGUUUUUCGGGUUUUGAUUUGGCACGAAGUUUAAGAAAGAAAAGAAGACUUGAAUUUUGUGGUCUUAAAAUAAAGGUAUGCAGAAUGUAUCAAAAUGUAAUUUAAGUUUGUAAUCUUUAAACAUACCACGUAGAAAGUUAGAAUUAAGGAGUUGUUGUAAAAAGAAAGAAACAUUCGCUUUUAAACAGACUAAAAAGGAAAAUAAUACUUAACAGAUUGAAAUGGAAAGAAUAACAUUUGAACAUAUGUCGCUCGCACUCACUAUAUGUCGGUGUUCUGGAGUUUUCCUUAGCAUGCUUUUUAUUAUCUGUUUCCUGCAAGAAUUAAAUCCGCUUUGUCAGCUAACUUAUUUGUUAUACUUGUGGCGUGCUUAGAAGGAAGAUACUUACAAGGUGGAGUAUAUAAUCGGAAAUGGUGAGAACAAACCCCGGUUUAUUUUGUUGAUAAGUCCUGUUUUGUCCUGUUGGAUUUACAUUGUCACUAUAUCAUAUAGAAGAUAUCAGGAUAAAGAACUUCUCUUUUUUUUUGGCGUAACAAGUAUAACUUUUCGAGGAAUUGUUUACGAAGUUCAGAUAGCUUAAAAAUCAACUCACAGAAGCUUUAAACGGGGGUUGAUAUGCAGCAAUGUCAAACAUACAGUAUCCUAAAAUCACAUUAAAGUGUUAGUAUUAGGGACAUGAUGUAAAGAGCUAAAAUAUAUUGCUUCAUCAACAUUCUUAUUUCUUACCAAGCGACCAUAUAUCAGAUUUAUAGCCAUAGGGUAUGCCGGCAAGGAGCUCAGGGCACAUGUCGUUUGGUGUGCCAGAUACCUAUUACAUGAUAUUUGUUCCAAAAUUAAGGAUUAGCUGUACAACUCGACGUCUUUUUCUCAAAUGCAUUAAGCUAGGUGCUAUGGCGACCGGAGCUUUGUAAUAUGAUGAAUACCACAAUAUUUUUUUUGAUAAAAAGGAAGAUGACCACCACAACAUUUCGGUACCUAUGACCGAAAAUAAAAGCAAAUUGUAGGUUUUCCGGUCUUGGAGGGAAAAGGGAUUUCUCCCUUGCUAAAUAGUUAUGUUGAAUCAAUUGUUAGGUGACAAUAGAUGGUCGAAACUUUCAUGUAAGUAAGAGAUUCAUUUUGCCACAAUAGAAAUUCAUACCGAGGAGGCAAGGCCUUCUGCAUCUAGCAAUUUUCCGAAUCCAAAAUCACCUGUGACAAUCAAGUGAAUUUGAAGGACAGUAAAGAAGCAAAGACGACCCAAUCAAGCAAUUGUUCGGGUAUUCUUACCUAACCUGAUGUCGUUGUCCUUUGUGAUGAAUAUGUUACAUAACCGAAUUCAAAAUAGUUCACGUUAAAAUGUUUCAUGCUAAGAAGGCUUUUCUAUUUCGCCGAUUACAGCAAGUUUUUACCUUGAGGUCUCUAUGAUGAACGCGGUUGGAAUACAGAUGCUCCAAAGCUAACAAUAGAUGAGUCAGCCAUUUGCAGAGUUUCUAUAAUAGCAGGAAAAAAACAACAUAAAAACACACAAUUUUUUAAGCUACCGGGAAGGUACAGAGAAGCUUCAUAAGUAUUGAAAUCGCAUUUAACUAUCUCUUCCUGGAAAAUUGCUCCUCUAGACUUCCCCACGACCUCCGCCCUGAACACGGGGAAAAAAAUCAUCACCGUCCUCAGAUUACACCAUAAAAUAAGUUCUAUGAUCAUCUUAUUCAUUUCUUUAUUUUCAACCUCAUUACCCCUUCUAUCGUUCUUGGUACGACGGAGUAUUUAUGAAAUCUGAGGUCUUUCAUUCUCCAGAUACCAGGAUAUGCUUACAACACAGGCUGAAAACAGCCACGAUCUUGGCAAAAGGUUGCGCUCUAAAAACACAGGUUAGCCAUAUUUUACGAUAAAAUAUAGCCGGUGACAAUGAUGAAGAAUUUUACUUAAAAAUUGUAUUCCCUUCCCUUGUUUAGUGGCUCCUUUUGUUCUUUAUUCUUAUCUUUCCUUAUAGGUACACAUUUAAAAUAUUAGCAAAAUCAGGGAUAAUCACUCACAUAUUCUCAUCUUCACAAUAACCGGCAACGAUGCAUAUACAGCUCCCCUGAAAGAAAAAGAAAGUCGAGCUUUUUCUCUGGUGCAGCUUAUACAGCAAUAAUCGCAACUAUUAAAGGCUACGUUUUGUACUUUUUGAUCCAAGGAACCACAAAACUGGAUGAUAGGAUACCUUGUCCACCCAACCAUCUUUGUACUCUAAAAGAUAUGGAUGGCUAAGUUUAGCUAUCAAAUUCACCUGCAACGGAAAAAUAACCGUCUAUCAUCAAAUUAGAAGAAUAUUCUCCAAGCAUAUCAUACCAUCAAGUAAAAAUUUUCAUAUAAUAAAUUAUAAGAUGAGUCGAAGAUUUUGUAUCUAAAUGUGCUUGGUUCGAAAGGAAAGAUUGGAGNNNNNNNNNNNNNNNNNNNNNNNNNNNNNNNNNNNNNNNNNNNNNNNNNNNNNNNNNNNNNNNNNNNNNNNNNNNNNNNNNNNNNNNNNNNNNNNNNNNNNNNNNNNNNNNNNNNNNNNNNNNNNNNNNNNNNNNNNNNNNNNNNNNNNNNNNNNNNNNNNNNNNNNNNNNNNNNNNNNNNNNNNNNNNNNNNNNNNNNNNNNNNNNNNNNNNNNNNNNNNNNNNNNNNNNNNNNNNNNNNNNNNNNNNNNNNNNNNNNGAACUCAAACCUUGAGUUAAGACAUUGGGGCAUAUAUAUUAUUCUGUUGAAACAAUCUUCUCCAAAACCUAAGCUCAUCAGAUGCAAACCAGCAUUCAUGCAGAUAAGAAUGAAGAUGUCUAAAGGUUUCCAUCGAUAGAAUUCGUAGGAUGCUCAAUGCAUUGGUCAGGACAAUCACUCCUUACAUAGUCCAGUGCGCUCAACAUUCUUAGAAGAAAAAAGGUUUGCAUGGCAACACACGCUUCAAGUCGUACGAUAAGAUAGUUAAAAUGGUAACAGCAAAGGAAGAAUGUUGUGGUAUGAGAGUGAUAAUCCAAGAUCUUUAGAAGCAGACCAAUUGAAAUAGAACAACAACAACAGGAAGCCCAGUGUAUCUGGGGAGGGUAAAAUGUACACAGUCCAUACCGCUACCCCCGAAGAAGUAGAGAGGUUGUUUCCAAUAGACCCCCGGCAAUUGAAAUAGAAGAACAUCAAUAAAAAUCAGUUUAUCGAAUAUUUUAUGAUGGAACACCUCAUACAAUGUAGCUCACUACCGAAACUAUGAGGACAACUAUUCAAUUAGACAAAAAUCUAGCAAGUACGAGAUAUUGAAUGUAUGUAUUAUUCUGAAUUGCUUUAUAUUUCAUAAACGCGAUGUUCCCUGGUUGAAGUUUUUGUUUGUCUCAUUGUUGUUUCGUGAUGUACUUAACGAACUUGUUGUAACACCCCGUAUUCAAGUACGUGUAUUGGCGUAUUCAAGUAUGUGUAUUGGUCUUAUUUUUUUUAUUUUAUUUAUACCGGAAUUUACCCGUCGAUGGUUCCAUACGAAGGUUAUUGAAUAAGCUUUUCAAAGAUAUAAAGAUUUCCAAAAAUGGAUAGGUUUCGGAUAAUAUCAAGCACGUUCGAAACUAUAAAACGGUUGCCGGUAUAUUUAUGAAUAGUAAAUGUGCAGGAAAAUUUCCUAUAAACAAACUACUGAGGCCAUCCGAAUUUUUGGGCAAACUUCGAACGAUCAUAACUACCUUAAUAUAAUGAACGUGAUAGUGGUAGGAUAUCUGACAGGGAAAGGGAGCGAGACAUCUUUGAACGGGACAAGAAAAAGUAUAAGGAAAGGAGUCAUCAUUCAAUAGACAAAGGUCACUCGGAGAAACCAAAACAUGACUCUUCUCGGGAUCGUGAUUAACAAUCUUAUUCAUCACGAGAGAAGAAUUGUAAUAGACAUCAUUAGCUUAGAGAAGGCUGGUAAAAUGUUACCAUGCCCAAUAUGUUUUCUUUAUGGAGCGUAGCUACUGCUCUUUAUAUAAUAGCUGAGGGUGCCGCCUUUAUUAGUGAAACUGUACCACAUCCUUUUGCAUAAACCAAGGUCUCUCAUAAUCGUGACAUUGAUUUCAACUAUUUUCAAAUAUAUUUGGUCUACACAAACUCUUUAACAUUCAAUUAAUCUUUCCACUGAUUCCACUAAUUCAUCAACAUUUUUAGGGGCCUUUUGAUAUUGAAGACUUUGGAUUGCUCUAAACAAAACAAGAUCUAAAACAUUUAAAUCUGGACUGUUCGAUGGUUGAAAACACAAUCUGAUGUCAAAUCCAUCUUGUUGGGUAGCUUCAACAAAUUCUAACUCAUUGUUACCAAUAUGUGGCCUUUCAUUAUCUUAUUGUAAAAAGAUAGGAUUAUUCGAAUCGGAAGCUGGCCAUUUUGCUCUAAUAGCAGGAAGAACUUUCUCUAUCAAGCAAGCUCUAGUGAUAUCUUUAGUUACUGACUGAAUGGGCUUUGUUUCCAUAGUUCCUGCUGUUCGAUUUUUGCUAUUCCACAUAGCUGGUUCCUUAACUACAAACGAAAAAAUACCUAUUUUUCUAGAAAACAACUCAAUUCCAUUUUCAUCAAAUCGAGGACGUGCUACAGCAGCCAUAAACAUAACCAUUGGAAUAAAAUUUUUACUUUUGUAAGAACGAUACAGAUCUGGCUCAUGGUCUCCAGGAAGGAGGUAGUACCUUUCAACUUUUUUGGACAAAAAAAACAACUUUUCGUCGAUAUGAACAUAAGUAAACAUAUUCAGAAACAUGGGAUUUAUGUGGAUUGCAUUCUGAUCAAUCAUUGAGAGGCAGUAUUGAAGUCGUACCUUUUUGUUUCCUUCGGUUAACUGUGGCUUGAUGGAAUUAGAAUGUGGCCGAAGAGUUCCAUCUUUCACACACCGAAAGACGGCUGAUUUUGCCAUGUUCAUCGCAAAAGCUAGAGAUCGAAAAUUUGUUCGAUGACAAAGUGGAAUUUAUUUGACUUGAUUAAGUCGACUCCAAUCCGUUUUCUUCCAACUUUACCUGUAAGUCUUAAAGACACAUCUAAUGACGACAUACCAUUAACAACUGAUGAUUGGCAUUGUUUCCAAAUGCACUAAAUAGUUUUAUUGAUUUCUUGAACAACAUCGCAGCUUGUGUUAUAGAUCCGUAUUUAAAACUUCCUUCCUUACUUUCUUUCAAAAGAAACUUUGCAAUUGCUUGACGAUCUUCUAAUUUCAAUCAUUUAUUUUUGAAGGUUGAGUCUAUAGGUACGACGAACCUCAUCUUUAGUGUAAUGGCAAAAAUAAGAGUGGAGAUAAAAGGAAGAAUUUGGAAAUUAUCCAAAACAAAAAGAAGGAUACAGUAACCAGAAGAUGCAAAAGAACAUCUCUCAAAUGAAAAGAAGAUUUGGUGCCACAAAAUAACCAUUUGCUAAAAAUUCAAAUGAAAAGUAGGUUUAGCGCCCAAAAAUUGAAACCAAAAUCAAAUCAGAAAUGUAAAUUUUUCGUGGAAAAUCCGUACAUGAAAGCAAAUUGGUCCUAUUUUCUAGAAAAUUGAAUUUUGCAAUAACAAAUUUUUCUUAAUUGUUGAUAGAGAAAAUGAGAAUAAAAUUUUAAAUUAAAGCGAUACACUGAUUUGAACUACUUAACUCUUUGCAAAAAAGAGAGACAGUUAUGUAGGUGGAGUAUUUUUUUAGUAGAUUUUUUUUAAUACUAUACUCUCUGUUGCAUUUUUUUAAUUAUUGUGAAAUUUAAUAAAAGUACCGAGUGGUCCAAUACUUUUUUAAGAGGGGUAAUUUAGUAACUUUAGCAAGGUCAAUGCCUAUUUCUUAAAUAUCGUGUCCGGUCAAAUGGCGACAUAUAAUUUGAGACGGAGGGAGUAUUAUGAUAUUCAAUGUUCAUCAAUCCAUAAGCGAUAUCCAAAGGAUAAUUGAAUUAGUUAGUACCAUAACAAUAUUAACUACAGAUCUAGAGAAAAUAGAUUAAAACUUGAAUUAAUUAAUUUGUAUAAUAGAUCAAUAAUAAUAAUAGAUUUGAAAUACAAGGAUUAAGGCUUGAAAUCGUUAGCAUCAUGUAUCAUAUAUAUAACAAACAUCAAAUGAAAACUUGCUCGAAAACAUGCUCCACCAUGAAAGAUGCACUUACAAAAAAUAAAUCAUGAUGGACUAAUAAAAAUUGAGAGUAAGAACAUGAAUUUUGCUUGAAACAUGUGUUUUGGUGUCAAGGUGCACAGGGAAUACAGUGGAGAAAAGGAAAAACAGAGAAAAUCAAGAUGAAAGAAGAUUUUAGGAAAGUAAAACAUUAGAGGCAAAAGACACGGUAAAGUGUCAUUGAUUGGAGGUUUUAGUUACCAAAAUACCCUUACUGUUGGUGUUGUUAACGAAAAUAUCCUCAAAUAAGAAAAAAUAGUAGUAACUAAAGUCUUCAUUUAUAUAAAAGAUUAAAAUAUAAUCAUUAUUAUUUUAAAAAAAUGUAUAAAUUUUAGUAACUAAAAAUAUAUUAGUGAAAUUACUUUUAACCUUGCAAGAGUAAAGAAUUUAUUAAGGAGUGUGUCCAAUUCAAAUGGGGUAAAUAGAAAAGAUUGAAAGGUUUAUUCAACUAUUUUACAUUGAGUCCACUUAAUUCAUUGAUAUUUUAGACAAUUCCUCAAUAUUCAUGAUAAAUGAAUUGUUUAGAUAUUGUUGAUAUUUGAGGUAAUUUAAUUGUUUCAAUAAUAAUGUUGAAAUUUUUAUUUAUUCUUAUACUUCAUUUUGGUAUUUCUUAUAUCAUGAAUUUAAGAAAUUAAAUUGUUCCUAUUUAUUUAUUGUUUUCAAUUAGUUUUUUAAAAGUCAGUAUUGGAAGGCAAUUUUGACACUGUGAUGUUGACACCCAAUUUUGACCUCCCGACACUACAUUUAGUCUCUUAUUUUAACAAAAUCGUUAAUUUUUAAACAUUAGUAUUUUUGAAUAUUUUCUUGCAUAAAACAGAUUUCCGACAUAUCGCAUUCAUAAUUUAGAAAAUGCAUAAAUCAUCAAUUACCUGUUAGAAUCAUAUUUUUAUAAUAUUCUAAAAUUAAAAAUGACAUUUUUAUAAUUUUAUUAAUUAAAUUAUUUUCACGUAAUUAUGCACACUCACAAUUUUACAAAAUACAUUGUGUAGGUUUGCUUUAUUUAAUACUAUUUAUUGAUAUUAUUUUUUAUAGACAUUGUUAUUAUAUAUAUUAAUAUUAUUUAUUAUUUAUCAUUUAUUAUUAUAAUUUAUUUUUUAAUUAUUAUUUUUUCAUUAUUAUUUAUCUUUUAUUAUAUUUUUUAUCAUUUAUUAUUUAAUGUUGCUAUUUAUUAUUUAAUUACUAUUAUUAUAUUUUAUUAUUAUUAUUCCUAGUUUAAUUUAAAUAACAUCCUAAUCAAAAUUACAUUGCAUGAUUUUCUUUACCUUUUAAUCCAAUUAUUACAAUUAUUACCUAUUCUUACCCAAUCCAUUACAAUCUUAACCCAAUCUUUUACAAUUUAAGCCAUUAUUUUUCAUCCUAGCCACAUUUUAAUUCCCCCAUGACAUUAAAUCUCAGUCGUCGAUCAAAAACCAAUCCAACGGUUGAGAUCAAAAGAUCUCUCUUUCCAUAUUUCAAACCUGCAAACCCUAACCCUAAUUUAUUUUCCCCAACUUCCGCCUCUAUCUCUCCACCUCUCUCUUCUCUCUCUCUNNNNNNNNNNNNNNNNNNNNNNNNNNNNNNAUCUCUCCAUCCCCCAUCGACCACCAAAACCACCCCCUCCACUCCGAGUCCUCAUCGCUAUGCCGCCAUCUCCGGCGAACAGCCUUUGCCAUCGCCUUUUCCUUCUCCUCUAUACGCGCUGCCAGCUCCUACCCCAGGUGAGUCCAGCCGCUGCUCCGAUGGCCAGCCCCCUCCCUUCUCGUCCUCCACCAGCGAACAGCGCCGCCAUCGAUGGAGAUGGCCAGCCAAGCCUCCACACCACCGCUCCAUCCCCCGUCCUCCAGUUUCUUUCUUUCUCCCUUCUGACGAACGUCCAACAGCCGCGACACAGCCUUGACUCCUCUGGCACAGUGAUACCUCCGGCAAACCCCUUCGGCGUUCCAACCAUGCAACCCUUCCUCAUCGAAAAUGAAGAAUUCGUCUUCAAGUUUGAUCCCAUGUUCAAAAUAUGUGUGAGAACUUUAGUACUAUUUCUUCAUUUGUGUCUCUCAUAAGUGUGGCCACGUUUGAUUUUUGCUGAAUAAAUGUGUUGAUUUUAAGUAUGUGAUUUUUAUUCUACCCUAUUUGCAUGUCCUGCUUGAUUGAAAUUUCGUGACUCUUAACUUGAAUGGUGAGUCAAUCUGUUCAUCUCUCUCUGGUAUGUGCAAACACGCCUAACUUCUUGCAACUUCAAAUUUUUUAUGCCUCUUAGUCAAUAUGGGUAAUUUUGUAUGGGAAAAGCAUGUAUGUGACGAUUCGAGGAUUUUUUCGUAAAUCUUUAAUAAGGCUAAUAUGUGCAUGUUUUGACUUUUUGGGUAUGAUCAUGUACCAAUUUGAUUUGAGAAAAGCAUCUCAGUAAUUGGUUUUUUAUUUUUUGGAUUUUUUCGUAAAUCUUUAAUAAGGCUAAUAUAUGCACGUUUUGACUGUUUGGGUAUGAUCCUGUACCAAUUUGAUUUUAGAAAAGCAUCUCAGUAAUUAAUUUUUUAUUUUUUGGAUUUUUUCGUAAAUCUUUAAUAAGGCUAAUAUGUGCACGUUUUGACUGUUUGGGUAUGAUCCUUUACCAAUUUGAUUUGAGAAAAGCAUCUCAGUAAUUGAUUUUUUAUUUUUCUUGCCUUACUUGGUUGACAGACAUCCCCUCACACGUUAAUUAUGGUAAAUUUAGAUACCUCUUCUUGAUUUCAUUUAAUAAGUAGGAAGGAUCUCUUUUUACAUGUUCUAUUCAUGGAAAUUUCAAAUGUUAUUAUAGGGUAUUAUUUAUUUAUGGCAACUAUAGCAUGACUGGUGGAAUGGAUUGAUUUACCCCAUCCAUUUAAGGGAACAAUCCCCUUAAUUGAUUCAUUAUAUGUUAUUCUUCUUCCAUUAAAUAUUAUUCUUCCUUCAUUAUUUGGGAUUGUGGACGGCCCUCCUCACUAUAUAAACUCACCAUUCUCUUUCUAUAAGAGGACAAACUUCUCCUCCGCUAUCACUCCCUCUAUUUUCUCUUAAAAGUACUUUGAAGUUCUUUGGCACUUUGGAUUUCAAAAAACAUUUGGUCUUGUCCUUGCUGCAAUUGCUUUGGGUUCUAUUAUUAUUGUUUGGUGCCUAAUCGGUUAGUCUCUAUCGACGCAUUCUUUUCUUAUUCUGUAGCAUUUGUGAGAGCAAAGCAUAGAAAGCAUGUCUAUAGGAACUAAUUUAAAAUAAUUAUGAUUUUGCUUUUGUCACUGUCAUAAAGAAGAUUAGAAAAAGAAAAGAAUAGCUUACUAGAAUGUACUAUAACCAGUUCUAACUAUUUUCUUGAACAGUAGCACAUUUGGUGCAAGUUGAAGACAUUCUGGGUAUUGCUGUUUGUAUUUUCUUGUUCUGUGUUUUGUUUGUUUGACUGUGGCUUCUUGUGAAUGUUUUGUCAUAAUUGAACAUAGCUCAGGGUUUUACUUUUCAUAGCUAUUUUCUACUUUCUUUCUGAUAUUUUGUUGGGUUUUUGCUUUGUUUCUUGCAUGAAAAUGUAAGUUCUUUUUCCCUAUUUUCCUUUUUUGGGCAAAGAAGGGUGAGUGAUGUGGUGGGCAGGGGCCAGUGGGGGGGUCUUUUGUUUAAUUCUUUCCAAAUUAAUGUGAAGAUAAUGUUUGAUAGAAUCUUAUUGGGAAGACAAAGUGUGUGAAUCAUAUUCAGCAAAGUGGGAGAAAAGGUGAAGAAAUUUAAGAGAGGAUUUUGAAGGAUGAUUGAUAGCUCAGCUAGAUAAAUGAAUGAGAGAGAACCUCAAAGGCCUUGUGGUUGUGUGGGCAUUUUCUUUCAGUUCUUUGAUCGGAACCGUAGAUUUGCCAAGAAGUUGUUUCCAAAGAAACUGCUUUCACCAGGUUAGCUACUACUACAUUCCACUUAUUUUUAAAGCAGAAUGGUUAAUUUCUUGAAGGGGAUUCUAGCUAGAGGGCUAAAUUAUUUCUUUUUUUUUGCUGCAUUCUUAUAGCUUGCUUGAAACAAGCUUCAAAAAAGUUUGGAGGGGAUGAGAAUCAGCCAAAGCUUCGUUUGGUACUCAUUUCUUGAACUAUAUUCCCACAUUUAGCUUUCUUUUUCUUCUAUUGUCUCAGAUUUUAGCCUGACAGGAAAGUUUUUGUUUUUAUUGUUUUUGGUUCUUGUAUGAACAAUGUAGGUUGCUGAUGAGAACAGUGGGGGUUUUCCAAAUGCAAAGAAUAAUGGAAUGACCGAUACACGUUGUGAAAGCAAGCACGAAAUGAAAGCUACAAGUUUGGUUGCUAGGCUCAUGGGUUUGCAAUCGAUGCCGUAGCCCCAAAAGGCUUCAGCUUUUGAAACUUGGAGCAAUGUGGCAGACAAACUUGGUGCUAGACCUGGCGGAUCUGAUAAAGAAGAUAUGGAUUUUGAGAUGGCUGAAAUAAAGAGUUCAGAACCAAGUUUGCAAAGGUUUAGAGCUAAAUGUGCUCUCACUUAUCCUGCUAGAUAUUUUUCUCCUUUGGAAUAUGAAGCAGAUUUAGUUGGGAAUUCACUUGAUCACCAUUCAACUGACAGCUACCUCUCCAGCAGUCCCAAUAAUAGCUCAAGUAUGGUCCCCGAUUCGACAUUUUACUACUUGCAUACUUCCUUUCUUUCCCUCAAAUACAUAAAUUAAAAAAUAAGACACCUUUGAACUUGGAUUUCAUGCAUCCAUGCUUCUAAUAAAUAUGAUACUUGUUUUCUUUUAGAGGACAAAGUGCUUGCUGAAUCAAUGGACUCUGUUGAUGAUGAACCACUCUUUCCAGAACCUGAUAGAGAUAUUUCGGAUUGUGAGACCUCAUUAUCCACCAGGAGUUGUAGAGAACUGAUUCAUAACGUUUCUGGAGUGCUCGGCAAGAUUGAUCAGUUAAAAAGAAGCAAACUCAGCUACGCAAAAAAAGGUCAUUUUGAAUGCUGAUCUCAUAUUUUGAACUACACCUCAACAGCAGGCUCUACCUGUAGAGGAUGGGUUCUCUGUGAGCCAUUUUCUCCUCAAUGAACAUGAAAAGUUUUCGAGUUUUCUGUGGAUGGCUUUCGGUGAGUUGCUUGGCUGUAAUGACCCAAAACAGAUGAAUCAGCUUAAAGGAUUCGCCUUAUAUUGUCUAUUAGAGUGCCUAGACUCAAAAUUUUCUCCAAUCUCUGAUUCUGGUUUCAGAACAUGUACCAAACUACUAUCAAGUAUGACCAAAGAGAUUCUGAUUGCUGAUAUUUUUGAUGAGGUCGAAGAGUGGACACAAUUUGUUGGUUUGAUCCCAGACGAGCUAAUAGAAUGGGAUAUGAGCCAUUCUUUGGGUAAAUGUACGAACUUCGAGAUUGAAGAAUAUGAAUGUGGCACUGAAGUUGCUAGGCAUAUUCUCCAAGAAUUGGUAGAUGAAGUUGUUUUAGACCUCUACAGUUCUAGCUAAAUUUGUUGGAACUGUUAGUAGCUCCUCUUUUUGAGACUUUGUUGCAAGCCUAUCAGUGAUAUUCUCAUGUGAUAACUCUUGACUCAAUAAUGUUAAGCAAAGUAUUUUGCACAAAUCAUUGAUUCUGCAUCUGAUUCGACUUAUUGUACUUAUGCUUUCGCAUUUAUGAAUAAUAAGAACAAUCCCUUCGUGAACAUCUGUUUGAAGUAGAACAUUACAAGCAAAAAAUGAAAAAUGGUGGAAAUGUAAGAACAAUUUGAAAGGAAACCCAAUAAGCCAAAAAUGAUGCAUAUGCAAAAAUUUGUUACUACCUCUGACCCAGAUUAUGUGUCGCCCGUCCCAAAAUAAAUGUCGUCUUUCCUUAUUUGGAAAAUUUUCAAAGGCACAAUUACCUUUUUACCUUUAUUGGACCCACUUGAUUUUAAAUAUACUAAUACUUCUUUUUUAGUAUUUGUUUUUUUAAAGUGAAAGCCUUAUCACUUCAAUCAAAANNNNNNNNNNNNNNNNNNNNNNNNNNNNNNNNNNNNNNNNNNNNNNNNNNNNNNNNNNNNNNNNNNNNNNNNNNNNNNNNNNNNNNNNNNNNNNNNNNNNNNNNNNNNNNNNNNNNNNNNNNNNNNNNNNNNNNNNNNNNNNNNNNNNNNNNNNNNNNNNNNNNNNNNNNNNNNNNNNNNNNNNNNNNNNNNNNNNNNNNNNNNNNNNNNNNNNNNNNNNNNNNNNNNNNNNNNNNNNNNNNNNNNNNNNNNNNNNNNNNNNNNNNNNNNNNNNNNNNNNNNNNNNNNNNNNNNNNNCCAAGAGACAACAUCCUUCUCCGCUAUUUCCUCUAACGCGUCAUAUGCCUCGUCAAUACUUCACACUCACGGUACAUUGAUAGGAGUGCAUUUCUGACAUAGCACAUGAUAUGAUAUCCUACAUUAACAAGUCUGCCGUGUAAUUUGCUUUCCAAAUUCGAAUGCAGCAACAUCAAGUAAGAAAAUACUGGAUGUCUGAACAAGCAGUAUAACAAGCAUAUAUUUUACAAACUCUAAACAUGCGUAGAAAAUGUCCAUUUCACUUUGUCUUGAUGAAUGUUUGAUCCUUUUAGAAGCACCGUGAUCUGAAGUUCACUCCACAACAAACUGUUUUCUGUUAAUCUUUCGAGUAUUGAAUAUUGUUGACCUCAGCUUCAACGUACUUCCACUUCACAUGAAUUACCACAAAAAUGAAAAUACACGGCAAAACAAUUUCCUACAAUUUUGUUUUUAGNNNNNNNNNNNNNNNNNNNNNNNNNNNNNNNNNNNNNNNNNNNNNNNNNNNNNNNNNNNNNNNNNNNNNNNNNNNNNNNNNNNNNNCUCUUCAAGAAGCCAGUCUUCAACAACCACCAUAAAACAGUAAAGUUAACAGCCCGACCUUUUCAUUUUUUAAAGUAGGUCAACACAGAUGACACACUCCUAUUUGGUUUCUCACCAUUCACAACCUUACGUUUCUCCUUUCUCAACUCUCUCUUCACCGGAAGUACAUAGGCUAGCCCAUGUUCUCUGAUAUUUCAACAUAAACACAGAUCAUCAGACUGUCAGCUUAUGAUUAAAUGUUCAGUCACUUGACAACAGUGAGUGUGACUCACAGAACACCAAAUUUAACAAACAUAACACGGAAGUUACCAUUGUCUCAAUGAAUAACAUCCUAAAGUGAGGAUAUCAAUACCAAUAAAACUUCAGAUGCAAACUUUCAAAUACAGUGUACACCAGUCAACGGCCAUAAACAGUAAAGUAUAAAUAGAAAAAACAAAUCAAUGACAUGAAAGAAAAAUAAAUGUCACAGAUAAAGGACAAUAAAUUUUAUCAAGAGUAAGGAUCAAGGAAGGCUAAAGUUUCAUGAACGUGAUAGUGGUAGAAUAUCUGACAGGGAAAGGGAGCAAGACGACUUUGAACGGGAUAAGGAAAAGUAUAAGAAAAGUAACAUCAUACCAAUAAAAUAUGACAAUCAAGAUAGAAUUAUUAUAACUGCGCAAAAUGUGCAUGAGGGAAACUAUAAUAAUAGUAAAAAAAAAAAACUUUUUAAAAAAAGUAAAUUCAUUUCAAAAGAGGCUUGAGGUUGGAGGAAUGGAAUAUUAAAAGGAACAAUUUGAUUAUUGAUACUUUUUUCUAUAAGACAACUAUAAUAUCGUGCUGACCUCUUAGAUUGUCACUUAGCUAAUAGUUAUUACCUCAGAAAAUCACCUUUCUUCUUGAUUCUCAGAACGUGACUUUCUGAGAUAAUACUAUUAGUUGAGUGACUAUAUUAGAAAUCGACUCCGAUAAUAACACAAUCACAUCUAAGAAGCUGAAGAAAUGUAUAAUCUUUGUCUGCAGGUAGUUUUGGAGAAAAAACUAACAGUAGAAAAUGUGGUAAGUAUCAUCAUAGAGUAGAAAUCAACUUUAAAAGUACAUUAUAUAUAAUCUUCACAGCUCCAUCAACUGUCCUACAACAAUAGAAUCAAAACUAAGGGAUGCUCAACCACGUUAAGCCUCGAGGAAUAGUUUAGUCCAACAAUACUUGAUGAUUUACAUAAGACAGAGGCUCGUUCUAUAGGUCAAAAGACAGGUUUUGUGCAACAUCACGACCCCUUGGACAACUUUUGUGCAGUCAUGAGACUUUUUGUCAACCAGAUUGCUGUUUCUCUAGACGACAUUCCAUCAUCCCCGAAUGGUUACAGCACACCAGCUAGCUCAUCGAUUUUUUCCUGCUUAAGUAGUAGCGCACAAACCUCCAAAAGAGACUCUAAAGCUUCAGCUCUUUGUUCAGUGGGAUUACCCCAGUCGUCUUUGUCCUCCUUACUAGCUAAUGCGGCUAGUGACUUGAGCUGCGAAACCUUAUCAUCCAGUGCUCGAAGAGCAUCUUUCUUAGCCAAUUUGGUGUCAUAAACCGCGGUUGCUUUCUUUUCUAGCUCGUCUUUGUGUAGAAGUGAACCAUCGCUUUUAGUUGACAAGCAGUCAAUAGCAACUUCUCUACACUCGCUACCAAUUUCAGUUUCAGCAACACAGCAUCUUGGUGCUGCCUCUGGAUNNNNNNNNNNNNNNNNNNNNNNNNNNNNNNNNNNNNNNNNNNNNNNNNNNNNNNNNNNNNNNNNNNNNNNNNNNNNNNNNNNNNNNNNNNNNNNNNNNNNNNNNNNNNNNNNNNNNNNNNNNNNNNNNNNNNNNNNNNNNNNNNNNNNNNNNNNNNNNNNNNNNNNNNNNNNNNNNNNNNNNNNNNNNNNNNNNNNNNNNNNNNNNNNNNNNNNNNNNNNNNNNNNNNNNNNNNNNNNNNNNNNNNNNNNNNNNNNNNNNNNNNNNNNNNNNNNNNNNNNNNNNNNNNNNNNNNNNNNNNNNNNNNNNNNNNNNNNNNNNNNNNNNNNNNNNNNNNNNNNNNNNNNNNNNNNNNNNNNNNNNNNNNNNNNNNNNNNNNNNNNNNNNNNNNNNNNNNNNNNNNNNNNNNNNNNNNNNNNNNNNNNNNNNNNNNNNNNNNNNNNNNNNNNNNNNNNNNNNNNNNNNNNNNNNNNNNNNNNNNNNNNNNNNNNNNNNNNNNNNNNNNNNNNNNNNNNNNNNNNNNNNNNNNNNNNNNNNNNNNNNNNNNNNNNNNNNNNNNNNNNNNNNNNNNNNNNNNNNNNNNNNNNNNNNNNNNNNNNNNNNNNNNNNNNNNNNNNNNNNNNNNNNNNNNNNNNNNNNNNNNNNNNNNNNNNNNNNNNNNNNNNNNNNNNNNNNNNNNNNNNNNNNNNNNNNNNNNNNNNNNNNNNNNNNNNNNNNNNNNNNNNNNUAGAAAGUUAGAAUUAAGGAGUUGUUGUAAAAGGAAAGAAACAUUCGCUUUUAAACGGACUAAUAAGGAAAAUAAGACUUAACAGAUUGAAACGGAAAGAAUAACAUUUGAACAUAUGUAGCUCGCACUCACUAUAGAUCGGUAUUCUGGUGUUUUCCUUAGCAUGAUUUUUAUUAUCUGUUUCUUGCAAGAAUUAAAUCCGCUUUGUCAACUGACUGAUUUGUUAUACUUGUGGCGUGCUGAGAAGGAAGAUACUGACAAGGUGGAGGAGUAUAUAAUCGGAAGUGGUGAGAACAAACCACGGUUUAUUUUAUUGAUAAGUCCAGUUUUGUCCUGUUGGAUUUACAUUGUCACUAUAUCAUAUAGAAGAUAUCAGGAUAAAGAACUUCCCUUCUUUUUUUUUUUGCGUAACAAGUAUAACUUUUCGAGGUAUUGUUUACGAAGUUCAGAUAUCUUAAAAAUCAACUUACAGAAGCUUUAAACGGGGGGAUUUGCAGCAACGUCAAACAUACAGUAUCCUAAAAUUACAUUAAAGUGUUAGUAUUAGGCACAUGAUGUAAAGAGCCGAAAUACAUUGCUUCAUCAACAUUCUUAUUUCUUACCAAGUGACCAUAUAUCAGAUUUAUAGCCAUAGGGUAUGCCGGCAAGGAGCUCAGGGCACAUGUCGUUUGGUGGGCCAGAUACCUAUUACAUGAAAUUUGUUCCAUAAUUAAGGAUUAGCUGUACCACUCGACGUCUUUUUCUCAAAUUCAUUAAGCUGGGUGCUAUGGCGACAGGAGCUUUGUAAUAUGAUGAAUACCAAUAUAUUUUUUUUGAUAAAAAGAAAGAUGACCACCACAACAUUUUGGUACCUAUGACCGAAAAUAUAAGCAAAUUUUAAGUUUUCUCGGUCUUGGAGGGAGAAGGGAUUUCUCUCUUACUAAUUAGAUAUGCUGAAUCGAUUGUUAGGUGACAAUAGAUGGUCGAAACUUACAUGUAAGUAAGAGGUUCAUUUUUCCGCAAUAGAAAUUCAUACCGAGGAAGCAAGGCCUUCUGCAUCUAGCAAUUUUCCAAAUCCAAAAUCACCCGUGACAAUCAAGUGAAUUGUAAGGAUAGUAAAGAAGCAAAGACGACCCAAUUAAGCAAUUGUUCGGGCAUUCUUACCUAACCUGAUGUCGUUGUCCUUUGUGAUGAAUAUGUUACAUAACUGAAUUCAAAAUAGUUCACGUUAAAAACGUUUCUUUCUUAGAAGGCUUUUCUAUUUCACCGAUUACAGCAAGUUUUUACCUUGAGGUCUCUAUGAUGAACGCGGUUGGAAUGCAGAUGCUCCAAAGCUAACAAUAGAUGAGUCAGCCAUUUGCAGAGUUUCUAUAAUAGCAGGAAAAAAACAACAUAAAAACACGCAAUUUUUUAAGCUACCGGGUAGGCACAGAGUAGCUUCAUAAGUAUUGAAAUCGCAUUUAACUACCUCUUCCGGGAAAAGUGCUCCUCUAGAAUUCCUCAUGACCUCCGCCCUGAACACGGGGAAAACAAAUCGCCACCAUCCUCAGAUUACACCACAAAAGAAGUUCUAUCAUCAUCCUAUUCAUUUCUUUAUUUUCAACCUCAUUACCCCUUCUAUCGUUCUUGGUACGAGGGAGUAUUUAUGAAAUCUGAGGUCUUUCAUUCUCCAGAUACCUGGUUGUGCUUACAACACAGGCUGAAAACAGCCACGAUCUUGGAAAAAGGCUGCGCUCUACAAACACAGGUUAGCCAUAUUUUACGACAAAAUAUAGUCGGUGACAAUGAUGAAGAAUUUUACUUAACAAUUGUUUUCCCAUCCCUCGUUUAGUGGCACCUUUUGUUCUUUAUCCUUAUCUGUCCUUAUAGGUACACAUUUAAAAUGUUAGCAAAAUCAGGGAUAAUCACUCACAUAUUUUCAUCUUUGCAAUAAUCGGCAAUGAUGCAUAUACAGCUCCCCUGAAAUAAAAAGAAAGUCGAGCUUUUUCUCUGGUGCAGCUUAUGCAGCACUAAUCGCAACUAUUAAAGGCUACGUUUUGCACUUUCUGAUCCAAGCAACGACAAAACUCGAUGAUAGGAUACCUUGUCCACCCAAGCAUCUUUGUACUCUAAAAGAUAUGGAUGGCUUAGUUUAGCUAUCAAAUUCACCUGCAACAGAAAAAUAACCGUCUCUCAUCAGAUUAGAAGAAUAUUCUCCAAGCAUAUCUUACCAUCAAGUAAAACUUUUCAUAUAAUAAAUUAUAAGAUGAGUCGAAGAUUUCGUAUCUAAAUGUGCUUGGUUCGAAAGGAAAGAUUGGAGCAACUAUUUGAUGACAUAACUUCUUCCACUCGACAUUUAAGAGUGUGCAUAUUCCAUACUGCCUAUUCAUCAAAAUGAAUAUUUGGUAGAGAGAUGUAUACCUCUUCGCUUCCAGAUUAUCCACUUCAAGAAAGUAGUGUUAUUGAUACAGGGAAAAUCAUAGGUGCGAAGUACUUACUGGUUCUUCUUUUCUAUUGCUAAGAGGAAUGAAAACUACUUCACGUGUGACUCCAACCAGAAAGUUCUAAAUUUCUACUUCAGUUCAAUCCUACUUGUCAGCUCAUGUCAUUUUUUUUUUUUGAAGCUCGUCUUGCGGAUGCUUGGUCCUUCGAACUCAAACCUUGAUUUAAGACAUUGGAGCAUAUAUAUUGUUCUGUUGAAACAAUCUUCUCCAAAACCAAAGCUCAUCAGAUGCAAACUAGCAUUCAUGCAAAUAAGAAUGAAGAUGUCUAAACGUUUCCAUCGAUAGAAUUCAUAGGAUGCUCAAUGCAUUGGUCAGGAAAAUCACUCCUUACAUAGUCCAGCAUGCUAAACACUCUUAGAAGAAAAAAGGUUUACAUGGCAACACACGCUUCAAGUCGUACGAUAAGAUACUUAAAAUGGUAACAGCAAAGGAAAAAUGUUCUGGUAUGAGAGUGAUAAUCCAAGAUGUUUAGAAGCAGUCCAAUUGAAAUAGAACAACAACAACAAGAAGCCCAGUGUAUCUGGGGAGGGUAAAAUGUACACAGUCCAUACCCCUAUCCCCGAAGAAGUAGAGAGGUUGUUUCCGGUAGACCCCCGGCAAUUGAAAUAGAAGAACAUCAAUAAAAAUAAGUUUAUCAAAUACGUUAUGAUGGAACACCUCAUAUGAUGUAGCUCACUGCCGAAACUAUGAGGAGAACUAUUCAAUUAGACAAAAAUCUAGCAAGUACCAGAUAUUGAAUGUAUGUAUUAUUCUGAAUUGCUUUAUAUUUCAUAAACACGAUGUUCCUUGGUUGAAGUUUUGGUUUGUCCCUUUGUUGUUUCGUGAUGUACUUAACGAAGUUGUUGUAACACCCCGUAUUCAAGUACGUGUAUUGGCGUGUUCAAGUACGUGUAUUGGUCUUAUUUAUAUGGAAGUAAUUUGUUUUUUUAUUUAUAUCGGAAUUUGCCCGUCGAUGGUUCCAUACGAAGGUUAUUGAAUAAUCUUUCCAACGAUAUAAAGAUUUCCAAAAACGGAUAGUUUUCGGAUAUAAUCGAGCACGUCCAAAACUAUAAAACGGUGGCCGGGAUAUUUGGGAAUAGUAAAUGUGCAGGAAAAUUUCCUGCACACAAACUACUGAGGCCAGCUGAAUUUUUGGGUCAACUUCGAAUGAUCAUAACUACCUUAAUAUAAUGAAAUGGGAGAGAUGAGACCUAUGAAAAGAAAUAUCUUUGAGUCUUCUUUCCAAUGCAAUUGGUUUCAUCCAAAUCCAACGUCUGAGUAAGGAGUUAUACUCGUUUUACUUUGGCCUAUCAAAACAGAUUUUUUAGGUCAACUUCAAAUGACCAAAACUCCUUGUACAGGACGAACUGGGUGGCCUAUUUUAUAUGAAAUGAAAUCACUUUGAAUUAUCCUUCCAAUAAUACCAAUUUCACUCAAAUCUGAUAUCGGAGCAAAGAGGUAUGGUCGAUCUACUUUAGCUUAUCUAAACAGUCCACCAAAGGACAGUUUUGACAUUAUUUAAAUUUUAAAGGCAUUUUGGUCAUUUCCUAUUAUAUUAUGGACUGGAAUAUGUGUAUAUAUACAUGUAUCUGAGUUCAAAAACUCAUUUUCAUUAUCAAUCAUUGAGAAAGAAAAAACCCUAGCCAAAUUUGACCUUUAAAUUACUUUUGAUUCAACCGUAGAAAUUCCAAAGUAAUCCGAUAACUGCGUUUGUCAUCUUGAGAGCUUCGAACGGCACCUAUUAUUUGUGAAAAUAGGAUUGCAUAAUCAAGAGGUGAAUUCUAAGGUAUGAAUAUUGUUUGCCUUUGUUCUCUUCCAUAUGUAUAUGUGUGAUAGAGGAUUAUAUGUAUUGGUUGUUAUUGAACGGUGAUGGAAAUAGGGUUAUGGACUAUUUUGCAUGGUUUGGUUGUAUUGAAUUGUGGAAGGUGGAUAUGGUAAUUGAGUUAUGGAAGGUGGAUAUGGUGAUAUACUAUUGAAUUGAUGAUUAUUUAUGUCUAUGGCUCAAUUUGGUUUAAUGGAUUGGUUGGAAGGAUAAAUGAAUCCAAACUUGAUAUUGGAGGAUGUUGUAUGAAUAUGCAUGGCAUGUGAAUGUAAUUGGAGUAUAAGAGGGUUAAAGUGACACCCUUUAUGGUGUAAUUAAGGCUUACUACUUAACCACUAGUUUGGUGAAUUCAAAUAAUUGAAUUGUGAUGUUUGGUCGCUAAUACUAGAUUGCUAUAUAUGUUCAUUGUAGAUAAGUAAUCCGAAAAGACGGGAAGUCCAUUUGGGACUAGUAUUGAAGGUUGACAGUCAGGUAUGUAAAGCAUACUCUAUACCAUAUCUUUGGCAUGAAAGUGAACAAUUGUUUUAUUAAGAAAGUUUCCAAAGUUAUUCAGUAACAUGUGAUCCAUAAUGAUUUUGUAUGAUGUCCUACGUUACUAAUGAACUUGUUUCCACCCUACAAGAUGUCAAGACAUUCCAAUACUUACUUGUUUUCCAAAUCUUACAUGUUUAUUACACUAAUGAAUGUCAGAAGGUAUCCGGUUACUCAAACAAGAUCCAUGUGCUAUUAAUGACUCCAAAAUGUUUCAUUGAUAUACUAAUAAGUUCCUACUUCAUUGUUAUGGCAUUGAUGACUCCAAAACGCUUCAUUGAUGUGCCAAUGAGUUCUUAUAUCAUUGUUAUUGCAUUGAUGGUCUAUUUAUAUGUCUCUAAUUGAUGUAUCAUUGUUUCAAAGUAUCAAAAAUGCGGUGGCGACCGAAAUAACAAUCUCAAAAAUUAAUUGAACUAAGUGAUGGAAGUUCUCUCUUAUCAGGUGGUAUCCCAGGGACAUAAGCCUAUCAUGGGUUGAUCCCUAUUUAUGUGUUUAUGGGUGGUAACCCAAGGGCAUAAGCCUAUCUGGGUCAAUCCCAGUUGAUAUGUACUGAAGGAAGCCUAAUGGUCACAGUACAGUACUGUAAUUAUUACAAAGAUGAUAAGUACGAAUGUAAAGUGAUUGAAUAAAUACAAUGUACAGGUUGUCACAAGUUCUAGUAUGUAUGGUCCACUCCUAUUACGAUUUAUUCACUUGUUUCUAAUUUUUAUUGAGAUCCUAUAUCAUAUGUGAUUAUCUACAGCUUUACAUACUCAGGACAGAUUUUGUACUGACGUCCCCCACAGGGGACCUGCAUUUUAUGCUGCAGGCACAAGUACCUCAGCUCAUGCACCGCAUAAGUAGGAUUCAGGAUAUCCAGCUGCUUUUGGUGAGCUCCAGUUUGCUUCAGGGCUUUCCGUGUCAUAUCCAAUCACUUUUGGUAUUUUAUAAAAGUUAGUUAUAUGGCAGGGUGUGUCCCGACCUUAGUUAAACUCUGCGUAUUUUCUAGAGGCUUUGUAAACCUAAUGUACAGUGAAGGUGGUGUUUUGUUAAUAGACGUAAUGGCUAUAAUGGUCAAGUAUUGUAUAUACAUAUAUAUGUGUGCUCGAGCUUAUACAGGUGAUUAUUUCCUUUUAUAUACGAUAUGAUGCUGUCCAAAUUUUGGGUUGUCAUAGAGGUAUGCAUGGGAAAUAUAAGGUGAUGAGCUAGUUCUCCCGGGCCUCCUCGAUUACGGGUGCCAGUCUGCCCCAAUAGGAUUUGAGGAGUGACACUUAUGGUGUUGAACUUGACUUGUUACUUGUAGAAAUGGAGUCAUCUAAAGAGACAGGUUGUCGAGCUCUAGAAGACCCUGUCCUCUGCAUCAACGACUGUGAUUUUUUUUUGUAGUGCAGCUAUGAUAAAUAUGUUUUCCAAGUGUCAAAAGGACAUGAUACUACUGAAGUAGGAACAUGCAAAGCUUGCAGAUGCAUCCAUCAAAGAUGUCGUAUGAAGAAGCUCAAGCAGCGAUGAAUCAGAAUAUGCUCUUGCAGGUGCCGCGGUUACAUCUGCAGAUUUAGCCUCUCAGAUGUCACAAGUGAAGUCAAAAGAGGGUUUGAAAAAGUGCACGGCUUGUCGUAAGCAUGUGGGAUUAACGGGGUUCAGUUGCAAAUAUGGUGGUCUUUUCUACACAGUUCAUCAUUAUUCAGACAAACACAACUGCCCAUUUGAUUAUAGGAAUGCUGGUCAGAAUGCAAUAGAAAAAGCAAAUCCUAUCAUCGUAGCAAAAAAGCUUAGUAAGAUCUAACAAGCACCUAUCGAAAGGUUGUAUGAACUGAAGCAAUGUCCAUCUAUCGAUAAGUUGGCCUCGUCUUACAGGGUGACGAUGAAAGUUUUGCAUGGGGGUGGGGGUGGGGGGUACCCUAGAGUCUAGAUAAUCUUGGUGUGUAAGUUAUUUAUGAUCUUGGUGCACAUUUUCAUGGAAUUUGUUCUUGUUUUGUCCCCAUUUCUGGGCUCCUUGUCUAGUAUAAUAUGCAUAAUGUAGGUCAUCUUGAUGAAUUUCACAUUCAUACAACCGCGUUUUGAAAUCCUAAAUUCGCCUCUGUGCAUUCUUCAAUUUUCCAAAGUCUCCUUUGAGUAUCAAUAAUGUAGAGUUUUUUUUUUGUAGAGAUGUCAAUACGGGUUGGCUCAGCCCAUCCGAGCUAGCCCACAUGGGCUUUGAGUUUGACGGAUUAGGUUGGGCUACCCUAUCAAAAUGAUGAGCCAAAAAAUAUCAAGCCCACACUACUACUUUAUGGGUUGCGGGCCUUACAGGCCAGCCCACUUUAAAAAAAAUAAUAUUUUAUAAUUUAAUUUUAGAAUGUUAAUAGACAUAAAUAUUACCAAUCAAUAUUACAUAGUAUUAAUACUUUUUAAUUAAGUAUCCAAAACCCCCCAAAAUACUCAUAAUAGCGAAAUUAAAUAACUUUUGACAUGUGUUCUGCCCUAACAUCGUAAAAGUAAGGUUUAAGCUAUAGAACUAGAUACAUAAGAGAAAGAGAGGAGAGCAGAACUUUAAUUCUUUGCUGAGGCACAUGAUAUCCUUCGAACCAAAUAAGAAUACUACUCCCUCCGUCCCAAAUUAUGUGUCGCCAUUUCCUUUUUUGUCCGUCCCAAAAUAAAUGUCCUCUUUCCUUAUUUGGAAUUUUUGUAAAGGCACAAUUACCUUUUUACCCUUAUUGGACCCACUUGAUUUUAAAUAUAUUAAUACUUCUUUUUUAGGAAUUGUUUUUUUAAAGUAAAAGUCAUAUCACUUCAAUCAAAAUUCAAACUUUCAGCCUUUUAUUUUUAUAGUAUCAAAAUUAUUUUAAACCACAGAGAGCAAUUUAUUAUUUUUGGUUGGUUCUACAUAAGUAAACCAGUUUUCUUUGACAACUCAUUGUUCACAUUACUAUGAUUUCUUGAGUAAAAAUUGGAUCUUUAAAGCUAAAGUUAAAGAAACAAGAAUUUAGAGGGAUCCCAUUUUCCACAUAUAUCAUCUUACAAUUGGAAAAAGUAACAAACACAACUACAAAGAUCAAACUUCUUUUGUUUAGAACUGAAAAUUGAUUGAGACAGUGAGCUACCCAAGAGACAACAUCCUUCUCCGCUAUUUUCUCUAAUGCGUGAUAUGCCUCGUCAAUAAUUCAGACUAACAGUACAUUGAUAGGAGUGCAUUUCCGACAUAGUACAUGAUAUGAUAUCCUACAUUAACAAGUCAGUCGUGUAAUUUGCUUUCCAAAUUCGAAUGCAGCAACAUCAAGUAAGAAAAUAUUGUAUGUAUGAACAAGCAGUACAACAAGCAUAUUUUUUACAAACUCUAAACAUGAGUAGAAAAUGUCCAUUUCACUUUGUCUUGAUGAAUGUUUGAUCCAUUUAGAAGCACCAUGAUCUGAAGUUCACUUCACAGCAAACUGUUUUCUGUUAAUCUUUCGAGUAUUGAAUAUUGUCGACCUCAGCUUCAACGUACUUCCACUUUAUGUGUAUUACCAUAAAAAUGAAAAUACACAACAAAACAAUUUCCUACAAUUUUGUUUUUAGUUUCUGCACUUAUUUACUCCCGCACCGAAUACUUAGUUUCCAAAAAAUAUCAAGCUGAUGCAAUGCACCUCUCGGAGAGCUCUUCAAGAAUCCAGUCUUCAACAACCACCAUAAAACAGUAAAGUUAACUGCCCGACCUUUUCAUUUUUAUAGGUAGGUCAACACAGAUGACACACUCCUAUUUGCUUUCCUACCAUUCACAACCUUAUGUUUCUCCUUUCUCAGCUCUCUCUUCACCAGAAGUACAUAGGCAAGCCCAUGUUCUGUGAUAUAUCAACAUCAACAUAGAUCAUCACACUGUCAGCUUAUGAUUAAAUGUUCAUUAACUCGACAACAGUGAGAGUGAGUCACAAAACUCCAAAUUUAACAAACAUAGCACGGAAGUAACCAUUGUCUCAAUGAAUAACAUCCUAAAGUGAGGAUAUCAAUACCAAGAAAACUUCAGAUGCAAACUUUCAAAUACAGUGUACACCAGUCAACGGCCAUAAACAGUAAAGUAUAAAUAGAAAAAACAAAUCAAUGACAUGAAAGAAAAAUAAAUGUCACAGAUAAAGGACAAUAAAUUUUAUCAAGAGUAAGGAUCAAGAAAGACUAAAGUCUCAUGAACGUGAUAGUGGUAGGAUAUCUGACAGGGAAAGGGAGUAAGAAGACUUUGAACGGCACAAGAAAAAGUAUAAGGAAAGGAUUCAUCAUUCAAUAGACAAAGGUCACUCGAAGAAACAAAAACAUGACUCUUCUUGGGAUCGUGUACCAAUCUUAUUCAUCACGAGAGAAGAAUUGUAACAGACACCAUUAGCUUAGAGCAGCCUGGCAAAAUGUUACCAUCCCCAAUAUGUUGUCUUUAUGGAGCGUAGCUACUGCUCUUUGCAUAAUAGCUGAGGGUGCCUCCUUUAUUAGUGAAACUGUACCACACCCUUUUGCAUAAACCAAGGUCUCUAAUAAUCGCGACAUUGAUUUCAACUAUUUUCAUUUAGUUCCCCUGAACAAUUGACAUCCCCAUGCUGUCCAAAUAUAUUUGGUCUGCACAAACUCUUUAACAUUAAAUUAAUUGUUCUCGAAAUAGACUUCCUAGUUUAAAAAUAAAAAUUUAUACAAAUGUGACGGUAUGACUCCCACUUCCCUUUUCUCCUUCCUUCCAUUUACGCAGCCAUCUAUUAUGUAAUAAGAAAAUAAGAAACAAAUAGAAGCAUAAAACAACAAUAAAGCUAGAAAAAGACGUGUAAGUAUAUAUAAGCUGGUGGGACUUAUAUCAUUGUAAGUAGAGUUAUUCAUGAGUACAAAAAAUACAUUAUGAUCACCAUGUCUGUACACAAAAAUAGUACUCCUAACAUAUUUCACAAAACAUCAUUCUAAAAGUUACAUGAUGAUCACUACGGCUAUACACAGAAGUAGUACAGUACUUCUACAUACUACUUGAAAAAACACCAUUCCAACUUGAAAAUAAAGAGCUUUACCAUAAUAAUAACUCAUAUCAUUGUUGAAGUAGAGACAAAUCUUUAUUGAUGAUAUUAAUAUCACAAUAAAGUUGGAGAGGAAGGUUUUCUUCUCUUACUAGUCCAUUUUUGUUCAAAUGAGGCACUUUGUAAUUAUUGCCGCCACUAUCUUUCAUCACCUCAAUCAUACAAGAUUGUAAAGUAAGAAACACAUGAUUGAGUUGUUUCGCUUUCAUUUCAUCAAAAGAUCUUUCCACUGCUUCCACUAAUUCAUCAACAUUUUUAGGGGCCUUUUGAUAUUGAAGACUUUGGAUUGCUUCUAAAAAACCAAGAUCUAAAACAUUUAAAUCUGGACUGUUCGAUGGUUGAAAACACAAUCUAAUGUCAAAUCCAUCUUAUCGGGCAGCUUCAAUAAAUUCCAAAUCAUUGUUACCAAUAUGUGGCCUUGCAUUAUCUUGUGAUAAAAAGAUAGGAUUAUUUGAAUCGGAAGCUGGCCAUUUUUCUCUAAUAGCAGGAAGAACUUUCACUAUCAAGCAAGCUCUAGUAAUAUCAUUAGUUACUAACUGAAUGGGCUUUGUUUCCAUAGUUCCUGUUGUUCAAUUUUUGCUUUUCCGCUUAGCUGGUUCCAUAACUACAACGAAAAAAUACCUAUUUUUCCAGAAAACAACUCAAUUCCAUUUUCAUCAAAUCGAGGACGUGCUACAGAAGCCAUAAACAUAACCUUUGGAAUAAAAUUUUCACUUUUGUAAGAACGAUACGGAUCUUGCUAAUGGUCUCCAGGAAGCAGGUAGUACCUUUCAACUUUUUUGGACAAAAAAAUCACUUUUCGUCGAUAUGAACAUAAUUAAACAUAUUCAUAAACAUGGGAUUUAUGUGGAUUGUAUUCUGAUCAAUCAUUUAGAGGCAGUAUUGAAGUCGUACCUUUUUGUUUCCUUCGGUUAACUGAGGCUUGAUGGAAUUAGAAUGUGUCCGAUGAUGAUUAUGCCAUGUUCAUCGCAAAAGCCAGAGAUCGAAUAUUUGUUCGACGACAAAGUGGAAUUUCUUUGACUUGAUUAAUGUCGACUCCAAUCCGUUUUCUUCCAACUUCACCUGUAAGUCUUAAAGACACAUCUAACGAUGACAUACCAUUAUCAACUGAUGAUUGACAUUGUUUCCAAAUGCGCUGAAUAGUUCUUAUUGAUUUCUUGAACAACAUCACAGCCUGUGUUAUAGAUCCGUAUUUAAGACUUCCUUCCUUAAUUUCUUGCAAAAGAAACUUUGCAAUUUCUUGAUGUUCUUCUAAUUUCAAUCAUUUAUUUCUAAAGGUUGAGUCUAUAGGUAUGACGAACCUCAUCUUUAGAGUAAUGGCAAAAGUAACAGAGGAGAUAAAAGGAAGAAUUUGGAAAUUAUCCAAAACAAAAGAAAGGAUACACUAACCAGAAGAUGCAAAAGAACAUCUCUCAAAUGAAAUGAAGAUUUGGCACCAUGAAAUAACCAUUUGCUAAAAAUUCAAAUGAAAAGUAGGUUUAGCACCCAAAAAUUGAAACCAAAAUCAAAUCAGAAACGUAAAUUUUUCGUGGAAAAUCCAUACAUGAUGGCAAAUUGGUCCUAUUUUCUAGAAAAUUGAAUUUUGGAAUAAUAAAUUUUUCUUAAUUGUUGAUAGAGAAAAUGAGAGUAAAAUUUUAAAUUAAAGCGAUACACUGAUUUGGACAACUUAACUCUUUGCAAAAGGUAGAGACAGUUAUGUAGGCGGUGUAUUUUUUUAUUAGAUUUUUUUUUAAUACUGUACUCUCUGUUACAUUUUUUUAAUUAUUGUGAAAUUUAAUAAAAGUACCUAGUGGUCCAAUACUUUUUUAAGAGGGAUAAUUUAGUAACUUUAGCAAGGUCAAUGCCUAUUUCUUAAAUAUCAUGGCCGGUCAAAUGGCGACAUAUAAUUUGAGACGGAGGGAGUAUUAUGAUAUUCAAUGCUCAUCAAUCCAUAAGCAAAUUACUUUCUAUAGUUCCCAGUAGGUUACAAUGCGUUGGUCCGAUUCAAACUUAUUGCUCUAUACAACUCUUAAGAAAAAUUUAUAAAAUCAAUUUUCUGUAAAUAGAAAAUGUAAAUCAAAAAUCAAUCUUUAGAGCAAGCAAAAAGGACCAAAGGGUAGCAAAAAUUAAUUAGUAUCACAGAACAAGAAGAUAUCCAAAGGAUAAUUGAAUUAGUUAGUACCAUAACAAUAUUAACUACAGAUCUAGAGAAAAUAGAUUAAAAGUUGAUUUAAUUAAUUUGUAUAAUAGUCAAUAAUAGUAACAGAUUUGAAAUAAAAGGAUUAAGGCUUGAAAUAGUUCGCAUCAUGUAUCAUAUAUAUAACAAACAUCAAAUGAGAACUUGCUCAAAAACUUGCUCCACCAUCAAAGAUGCACUUACCAAAAACAAAUCAUGAUGGACUAAUAAAAAUUGAGAUUAAGAAUAUGAAUUUUGCUUGAAACUUGUGUUUUGGUGUCAAGGUGCGCAGGGAAUACAGUGGAGAAAGGAAAAACAUAGAAAAUGAAUAUGAAAGUAGAUUUUGGGAAAGUAAAAUAGUAGAGGCAAAAGACACGGUAAAGUGUCAUUGAUUGGAGGAUUUAGUUACCAAAAUACCCUUACUGUUGGUGUUGUUAACGAAAAUAUCCUCAAAUAAGACAAAAUAGUAGUAACUAAAGUCUUCAUUUAUAUAAAAGAUUAAAAUAUAAUCAUUAUUAUUUUAAAAAAAAUGUAUAAAUUUUAGUAACGAAAAAUAUAUUAGUGAAAUUACUUUUAACCUUGCAAGAGUAAAGAAUUUAUUAAGGAGUGUGUCCAAUUCAAAUGGGGUAAAUAGAAAAGAUUGAAAGGUUUAUUCAACUGUUUUACAUUGAGUCCACUUAAUUCAUUGAUAUUUUAGACAAUACUUCCUCAAUAUUCAUAAUAAAUGAAUUGUUUAGAUAUUGUUGAUAUUUAAGGUAAUUUAAUUGUUUCAAUAAUAAUGUUGAAAUUUUAAUUUAUUCAUAUACUUCAUUUUUGUGUUUCUUAUGUCAUGAAUUUAAGAAAUUUAAUUGUUCUUAUUUCUUUAUUGUUUUGAAUUAGUUUUUUAAAAGUCAGUAUUGGAAGCCAAUUUUGACACUGUGAUGUUGACACCCAAAUUUGACCUCCCGAAACUACAUUUAGUCUGUUAUUUUAACAAAAUCGUUAAUUUUUAAACAUUAGUAUUUUUGCACAUUUUCUUGCAUCAAACAGAUUUCCGACAAAUCGCAUUCAUAAUUUAGAAAAUGCAUAAAUCAUCGAUUAUCUUUUAGAAUCAUAUUUUUAUAAUAUUCUAAAAUUUAAAAUGACAUUUUUAUAAUUUUAUUAAUUAAAUUAUUUUCACGUAAUUAUGCACACUCACAAUUUUGUAAAAUACAUUGUCUAGUUUUACUUUAUUUAAUACUAUUUAUUGAUAUUAUUAUUUAUUGACAUUGUUAUUAUAUAUAUUAAUAUUAUUUAUUAUUUAUCAUUUAUUAUUAUAAUUUAUUGUUUAAUUAUUACUUUUUUCAUUAUUAUUAUUUAUCUUUUAUUAUAUUUAUUAUUAUUUAUUAUUUAAUAUUGAUGUUUAUUAUUUAAUUACUAUUAUCAUAUAUUAUUAUUAUUCCUACUUUAAUUCAAAUAACAACCUAAUCAAAAUUACCUUGCAUGAUUUUGCUUACCUUUUAAUCCAAUUUUAUUUAAUUUCUUACAAUUAUAGCCUAUUUUUACCCAACCCAUUAUAAUCUUAACCCAAUUUCUUACAAUUUAAGCCAUUAUUUUUUAUCCUAGCCACAUUUUAAUUCCCCCAUGACAUUAAAUCACAGAUGUCAAACAAAAACCAAUCCAACAGUUGACAUCAAAAGAUCUCUCUUUGCUUAUUUCAAAUGUGACAUCAAAAGCCACAUUCUACUUUCUUUCUGAUAUUUUGUUGGGUUUUUGCUUUUUUUCUUGCAUGAAAAUGUAAGUUCUUUUUCCCCAUUUUCUUUUUUUGGGCCAAGGAGAGUGAGUGAUGUGGUGGGCAGAGGGGCCGGUGGGGGGGUCUUUUGUUUAAUUCUUUCCAAAUUAAUGUGAAGAUAAUGUUUGAUAGAAUCUUAUUGGGAAGACAAAGUGUGUGAAUCACAUUCAGCAGAGUGGGAGAAAAGAUGAAGAAAUUUAAGAGAGGAUUUUGAAGGAUGAAUGAUAGCUCAGCUAGAGAAAUGAAUGAGAGACAACUUCAAAGGACGUGUGGUUGUGUGGGCAUUUUCUUUAAGCUCUUUGAUCAGAACUGUAGAUUUGCCAAGAAGCUGUUUCUAAAGAAACUGCUUUCGCCAGGUUAGCUACGACUACAUUCCACUCAUUUUUAAAGCGGAAUGGUUAAUUUCUUGAAGGUGAUUCUAGCUACAGGGCUAAAUUAUUUCUUUUUUUAUGCUGCAUUCUUAUAGCUUGCUUGAAACAAGCUUCAAAAAAGUUUGGAGGGGAUGAGAAGUAGCCAAAGCUUCGUUUGGUACUCAUUUCUUGAACUAUACUCCCACAUUUAGCUUUNNNNNNNNNNNNNNNNNNNNNNNNNNNNNCUGACAGGAAAGUUUUUGUCUUUAUUGUUUUUGGUUCUUGUAUGAACAAUGUAGAUUGCUGAUGAGAACAGUGGGGGUUUUCCAAAUGCAACGAAUAAUGGAAUGACCGAUACAUGUUGUGAAAGCAAGCGCGAAAUGAAAGCUCCAAGUUUGGUUGCUAGGCUCAAGGGUUUGGAAUCGAUGCCAGCAGGAUCAAGCAGUUAUCCCCAAAAGGCUUCAGCUUCUGAAACUUGGAGCAAUGUGGCAGACAAAAGGUUUGGAUUUCAUACAUCCAUGCUUCUAAUAAAUAUGAUGCUUGUUUUCUUCCAGAGGACAAAAUGCUUGCUGAAACAGUGGACUCCGUUGAUGAUGAAUCACUCUUUACAGAACCUGAUAGAGAUCUUUCGGAUUGUGAGACCUCAUUAUCCACCAGGAGGAGUUGCAGAGAACUGAUUCAUAACGUUUCUGGAGUUCUCAGCAAGAUUGAUCAGUUAAACGGAAGCAAACUCAGCUAUGUAAAACAGAGGAUGGGAUCUCUGUGAGCCAUUUUCUCCUCAAUGAACAUGAAAUGUUUUCGAGUUUUCUGUGGAUGGCUUUCGGUGAGUUGCUUGGCUAUAAUGACCCAAAAUAGAAGAAUCAGCUUAAAGGAUUCGCCUUUGAUUGUCUAUUAGAGUACCUAGACUCAAAAUUUUCUCCAAUCUCUGAUUCUGGUUUCAGAACCUGUACCAAACUACCAUCAAGUAUGAUCAAAGAGAUUCUGAUUGUUGAUAUUAUUGAUGAGGUCGAAGAGUGGACGCAAUUUGUUGGUUUGAUCCCAGACGAGCUAAUAGAAUGGGAUAUGAGCCAUUCUUUGGGUAAAUGUAAGGACUUCGAGAUUGAAGAAUAUGAAUGUGGCACUGAUGUUGCUAAGCAUAUUCUACAAGAAUUAGUAGAUGAAGUUGUUUUAGACCUCUAUAGUUCUAGCUAAAUUUGGUGGAACUGUUAGUAGCUCCUCUCUUUGAAACUUUGUUGCAAGCCUAUCAGUGUUGUUCUCAUGUGAUAACUCUUGACUCAAUAAAGUCAAGCAAAGUAUUUUGUACAAAUCAUUGAUUCUGCAUCUGAUAUGACUUAUUGUAUUUGUGCUUUUGCAUUUAUGAAUAUUAAGAACAAUCCCUUCGUGAACAUCUGUUUGAAGUAGAACAUUACAAGCACAAAAUGAAAAAUAGUUGAAAUGUAAUAACAAUUUGAAAGGAAACCCAAUAAGCCUAAAUGGAUCCAUAUGCAAAAAUCUGUUACUACCUCCGACCCAAAUUAUGUGUCGCCCGUCCCAAAAUAAAUGUCGUCUUUCGUUAUUUGGAAAUUUUUCAAAGGCACAAUUACCUUUUUACCUUUAUUGGACCAACUUGAUUUUAAAUAUAUUAAUACUUCUUUUUUAGUAUUUGUUUUUUUAAAGUGAAAGCCUUAUCACUUCAAUCAAAAUUUAAACUCUCAACCUUUUAUUUUUACAGUAUAAAAUUUAUUUUAAACCACAGAGAGCAAUUUAUUCUUUUUGGUUGGAUAAACCAGUUUUCUUUAACAACUCAUUGUUCAUAUUACUGUGAUUUCUCGAGUAAAUAAAAAUACAUUCAAAUGUGACGGAAUGACUCCCACUUCCCUUUGCUCCUUCCUUCCAUUUACGCAGCCCUCUAUUAUGUGAUACGAAAGUAAGAAACAAAUAGAAGCAUAAAACAACAAUAAAGCUAGAAAAAGACGUGUAAGUAUAUAUAAGCUGGUGGGACAUAUCAUUGUAAGUUGAGUUAUUCAUGAGUACAAAAAAUACAUUAUGAUCACCAUGUCUGUACACAAAAAUAGUACUCCUAACAUAUUUGACAAAACAUCAUUGUAAAAGUUACAUGAUGAUCACUACGGCUAUACACAAAAGUAGUACAGUACUUCUACAUACUACUUGAAAAAACACCAUUCCAACUUAAAAAUAAAGAGCUUUACCAUAAUAAUAACCCAUACCAUUGUUUAAGUAGAGCCAAAUCUUUAUUGACGAUAUCAAUAUCACAAUGAAUAUGGAGAGAAAGGUUUUCUUCUCUUUCUAGUCCAUUUUUGUUCAAAUGAGGCACUUUGUAAUUAUUGCCGCCACUAACUUUCAUCACCUCAAUCAUAAAAGAUUGUAAAGUAAGAAAUACAUGAUUGAGUUGUUUCACUUUCAUUUCAUCAAAAGAUCUUUCCACUGCUUCCACUAAUUCAUCAACAUUUUUAGGGGCCUUUUGAUAUUGAAGACUUUGGAUUGCUCUAAAAAGCCAAGAUCUAAAACAUUUAAAUCUGGACUGUUAGAUGGUUGAAAUCACAAUCUAAUGUCAAAUCCAUCUUGUCGGGCAACUUCAAUAAAUUCCAAAUCAUUGUUACCAAUAUGUGACCUUGCAUUAUCUUGUUGUAAAAAGAUAGGAUUAUUUGAAUCGGAAGCUGGCCAUUUUGCUCUAAUAGCCGGAAGAACUUUCUCUUUCAAGCAAGCUCUAGUGAUAUCUUUUGUUACUGACUGAAUGGGCUUUGUUUCCGUAGUUCUUACUGUUCAAUUUUUGCUAUUCCGCUUAACUGGUUCCUUAACUACAAACAAAAAAAUACCUAUUUUUCAAGAAAACAACUCAAUUCCAUUUUCAUCAAAUUGAGGACGUGCUACAACAGCCAUAAACAUAACCUUUGGAAUAAAAUUGUUACUUUUGUAAGAAUGAUACAGAACUGGCUCAUGCUCUCCAAGAAGCAGGUAGUACCUUUCAACUUUUUUGGACAAAAAAAACCACCUUUCGUCGAUAUGAACAUAAUUAAACAUAUUCAUAAACAUGGGAUUUAUGUGGAUUGUAUUCUGAUCAAUCAUUGAGAGGCAGUAUUGAAGUCGUACAUUUUUGUUUCCUUCUGUUAAUUGAGGCUUGAUGGAAUUAGAAUGUGGCCUAAGAGUUUCAUCUUUCACACGCCGAAAGACGGUUGAUUUUUCCAUGUUCAUCGCAAAAGUCAUAGAUCGAAUAUUUGUUCCACGACAAAGUGGAAUUUCUUUGACUUGAUUAAUGUCGACUCCAAUCCCUUUUCUUCCAACUUUACCUGUAAGACUUAAAGACACAUCUAACGACGACAUACCAUUAUCAACUGAUGAUUUACAUUGUUUCCAAAUGCGCUGAAUAGUUCUUAUUGAUUUCUUGAACAACAUCGCAGCUUGUGUUAUAGAUCCGUAUUUAAGACUUCCUUCCUUACUUUCUUUCAAAAGAAAAUUUACAAUUGCUUGUUGUUCUUCUAAUUUCAAUCGUUUAUUUCUAAAGGUUGAGUCUAUAGGUAUGUCGAACCUCAUCUUUAGAGUAAUGGCAAAAAUAAGAGAGGAGACACAAGGAAGAAUUUGGAAAUUAUCAAAAACAAAAGAAAGGAUACAGUAACCAGAAGAUGCAAUAGAACAUCUCUCAAAUGAAAAGAAGAUUUGGCGCCACAAAAUAACCAUUUGCUAAAAAUUCAAAUGAAAAGUAGGUUUAGCGCCCAAAAAUUGAAACCAAAAUCAAAUCAGAAACGUAAAUUUUUCGUGGAAAAUCCGUACAUGACGGCAAAUUGGUCCUAUUUUCUAGAAAAUUGAAUUUUUCAAUAACAAAUUUUUCUUAAUUGUUGAUAGAGAAAAUGAGAGUAAAAUUUUAAAUAAAAGCGAUGCACAGAAUUGGACUACUUAACUCUUUGCAAAAGAGAGAGACAGUUAUGUAUGUGGUGUAUUUUUUUAGUAGAUUUUUUUUUUAAUACUGUACGCUCUGUUGCAUUUUUUUAAUUAUUGUGAAAUUUAAUAAAAGUACCUAGUGGUCCAAUAAUUUUUAAGCGGGGUAAUUUAGUAACUUUAGUAAGGUCAAUGCCUAUUUCUUAAAUAUCGUGUCCGGUCAAAUGACGACAUAUAAUUUGAGAUGGAGGGAGUAUUAUGAUAUUCAAUAUUCAUCAAUCCAUAAGUAAAUUACUUUCUAUAGUUCCUAGUAGGUUACAAUGAGUCGGUCUGAUUCAAACCUAUUGCUCUAUACAACUCUUCAGACAAAUUUGAAAAAUCAAUCUUCUGUAAAUAGAAAAUGUAAAUCAAAAAUCAAUCUUUAGAGCAAGUAAAAAGGACCAAAGGAAAGCAAAAAUUAAUUAGUAUCGCAGAACAAGAAGAUAUCCAAAGUAUAAUUAAAUUAGUUAGUACCAUAACAAUAUUAAUUACAAAUCUAGAGAAAAUAGAUUAAAACUUGAAUUAAUUAAUUUGUAUAAUAGAUCAGUAAUAAUAACAGAUUUGAAAGAAAAGGACUAAGGCUUGAAAUAGUUAGCAUCAUGUAUCAUAUAUAAAACAAACAUCAAAUGAAAACUUGCUCGAAAACUUGCUCCACCAUCAAUGAUGCACUUACCAAAAAUAAAUCAUGAUGGACUAAUAAAAAUUGAGAUUAAGAACAUGAAUUUUGCUUGAAACUUGUGUUUUGGUGUCAAGGUACGCAGGGAAUCCAGUGGAGAAAAGGAAAAACAGAGAAAAUGAAGAUGAAAGAAGAUUUUAGGAAAGUAAAACGGUAGAGGCAAAAGACACGGUACAGAUUCCUUGAUUGGAUAUUUUAGUUACCAAAAUACCCUUACUGUUGGUGUUGUUAACGAAAAUAUCCUCAAACAAGACAAAAUAGUAGUAACUAAAGUCUUCAUUUAUAUAAAAGAUUAAAAUAUAAUCAUUAUUAUUUUACAAAAAAAUGUAUAAAUUUUAGUAAGUAAAAAUAUAUUAGGGAAAUUACUUUUAACCUUGCAAGAGUAAAGAAUUUAUUAAGGAGUGUGUCCAUUUCAAAUGGGUUAAAUAGAAAAGAUUGAAAGGUUUAUUCAACUAUUUUACAUUGAGUCCACUUAAUUCAUUGAUAUUUUAGACAACACUUCCUCAAUAUUCAUAAUAAAUAAAUUGUUUAGAUAUUGUUGAUAUUUAAGGUAAUUUAAUAGUUUCAAUAAUAAUGUUGAAAUUUUAUUUAUUCUUAUGCUUCAUUUUUGUAUUUCUUAUAUCAUGAAUUUAAGAAAUUUAAUUGUUCUUAUUUAUUUAUUGUUUUGAAUUAAUUUUUUAAAAGUCAGUAUUGGAAGCCAAUUUUGACACUGUGAUGUUGACACCCAAUUUUGACCUCCCGACACUACAUUUAGUCUGUUAUUUUAACAAAAUCGUUAAUUUUUAAACAUUAGUAUUUUUGCAUAUUUUCUUUCGUCAAACAGAUUUCCGACAUAUCGCAUUUAUAAUUUAGAAAAUGCAUAAAUCAUCAAUUAUCUUUUAGAAUCAUAUUUUUAUAAUAUUCUAAAAUUAAAAAUGACAUUUUUAUAAUUUUAUUAAUUAAACUAUUUUCACGUAAUUAUGCACACUCACAAUUUUGCAAAAUACAUUGUCUUCUUUUGCUUUAUUUAAUACUAUUUAUUGAUAUAACUAUUUAUUGACAUUGUUAUUAUAUAUAUUAAUAUUAUUUAUUAUUAAAAUUUAUUUUUUAAUUAUUAUUUUUUUCAUUAUUAUUAUUAUUUAUCUUUUAUUAUUUAUUUUAUUAUUUAUUAUUUAAUGUUGUUAUUUAUUAUUUAAGUACUAUUAUCAUAUAUUAUUAUUAUUCCUACUUUAAUUUAAAUAACAGCCUAAUCAAAAUUAUCUUGCAUGAUUUUGUUUACCUUUUAAUCCAAUUUUAUUUAAUUUCUUACAAAUAUAGCCUAUUUUUACCCAAUCCAUUACAAUCUUAACCCAAUUUCUUACAACUUAAGCCAUUAUUUUUCAUCCUAGCCACUUUUUAAUUCCCCCAUGACAUUAAAUCACAGUCGUCGAUCAAAAACCAAUCCAACGGUUGACAUCAAAAGAUCUCUCUGUCCCUAUUUCAAACCUACAAACCCUAACUCAAAUUUUUUCCCCCAACUUCCGUCUCUGUCUCUCCACCUCCCUCUUCUCUCUAUCUACAAACACCUUCAAAUCCCCCCCUCUCCUCCAAUCUCUCCAUCGCCAAUCGACCAUCAAAACUACCCCCUCCGCUCUGAGUCCUCAUCGCCAUGCCGCCAUCUCAGGCGAACAGCCUUUGCCGUCCCCUCUUCCUUCUCCUCCAUUACCCCAGGUGAGUCCAACCGCUGCUUCGAUCACCAGCCCCCUCUCUUCUCGUCCUUCACCGGCAAAUAGCGCCACCAGUGGCGCCGCCAUCAACAGAGAUGGCCAGCCAAGCCUCCACACUGCCGCUCCAUCCUCCGUCGUCUAGUCACCUUCUUUCUCCCCUCUGGUGAAUUUCCAAUAGUCGUGACACAGCCUCGACUCCUCUCCCACAGCGAUACCUCCGGCAAACCCGUUCGGCGUUCCAACCAUACAACCCUUCCCCAUCGAAAAUGAAGAAUCCGUCUACAGGUUUGAUCCCGUGUUCGAAAUAUGUGUGUGAACUUUAGUACUAUUUCUUCAUCUUUGUCUCUCAUAAGUAUAGCCACGUUUGAUUUUUGCUGAACAAAUGUGUUGAUUUUAAGUUUGUGAUUUUUUUUCGACCCUAUUUGCAUGUCCUGCUUGAUUGAAAUUUCGUGACGCUUAACUUGAAUGGUGAGUCAAUUUUUUCGUCUCUCUCUGGGAUGUGCAAACACGCCUAACUUCUUGCAACUUCACAUUUUUUAUGCCUCUUACUCAAUAUGGGUAAUUUUGUAUGGGAAAACCACGUAUGUGAUGAUUCUUCGGAUUUUUUCGUAAAUCAUUAAUAAGGCUAAUAUGUGAAUGUUUUGACUGUUUGGGUAUGAUCUUGUACCAAUUUGAUUUGAGAAAAGCAUCUCAGUAAUUGAUUUUUUAUUUUUUGGAUUUUUUCGUAAAUCAUUAAUAAGGCUAAUAUGUGAAUGUUUUGACUGUUUGGGUAUGAUCUUGUACCAAUUUGAUUUGAGAAAAGCAUCUCAGUAAUUGAUUUUUAUUUUUCUUGCCAUACUUGGUUGACAGACAUCCCCUCACACAUUAAUUAUUGUAAAUUUAAAUACCUCUUCUUGAUUUCAUUUAAUAAGUAGGAAGGAUCUCUUUUUACUUGUUCUAUUCAUGGAAAUUUCAAAUGUUAUAAUAGGGUAUUAUUUAUUUAUGGCAACUAUAGCAUGAUUGGUGGAACGGAUUGAUUUACCCCAUCCAUUUAAGGUAAUAAUCCCCUUAAUUGAUUCAUUAUAUGUUAUUCUUCUUCCAUUAAAUAUUAUUCUUCCUUCAUUAUUUGGGAUUGUGGACGGCCCUCCUCACUAUAUAAACUCACCAUUCUCUUACUCUAAGAGGACAAACUUCUCCUCUGCUAUUACUCCCUCUACUUUCUCUUAAAAGUAUUUUGAUGUUCUUUGGCAGUUUGGAUUUUGAAAAACAUUCGGUCUUGUCCUUGCUGCAAUUGCUUUGGGUUCUAUUAUUAUUGUUUGGUGCCUAAUCGGUUAGUCUCUAUCGACGCAUUCUUUUCUUAUUCUGUAGCAUUUGAGAUAGCAAAGCCUAGAAAGCAUGUAUAUAGGAACUAAUUUAAAAUAAUUAUGAUUUUGCUUUUUUCACUGACAUAAAGAAGAUUAAAAAAAGAAAGAAUAGCUUACUAGAGUGUACUAUAACUAGUUCUAGCUGUUUUCUUGAACAGUAGCACAUUUGGUGCAAGUUGAAGACAUUCUGGGUAUUGCUGUUCGUAUUUUCUUGUUCUGUGUUUGCUUUGUUUGACUGUGGUUUCUCGUGAAAGUUUUGUCAUAAUUGAACACAACUUAGGGUUUGACUUUUCAUAGCUAUUUUCUACUUUCUUUCUGAUAAAGAGGGUGAGUGAUGUGGUGGGCAGAGGGGCCAGUGGGAGGUUCUUUUGUUUAAUUCUUUCCAAAUUAAUGUGAAGAUAAUGUUUGAUAGAAUCUUAUUGGGAAGACAAAGUGUGUGAAUCAAAUUCAGCAGAGUGGUAGAAAAGGUAAAGAAAUUUAAGAGAGGAUUUUGAAGGAUGAAUGAUAGCUCAUCUAGAGAAAUGAAUGAUAGUUUAGCCGCUAUUACUGAAAGACAACCUCAAAGGCCUUGUGGUUGUGUGGGCAUUUUCUUUCAGCUCUUUGAUCAGAACCGUAG
rnacentral:lncRNA from 1 species